UUCUAGGCUCUGCCUUGAAAAGUUCACACAGUGACUUUUUCUGAAUUUUGUCAGUCUGCCCCCAAAUUUUAUACUCUCUGGAGCUGUCUUUAGUUAAAAGUUUUGGGCGCCUGGGUGGC